AGCAAUACUGCACUGGUAAGGUAUGGAUCCGAAGCCUCUCGAAGGAUAAUAUAGGCUCUCCAUACCCUACUCCUACUCAAUACGUCCACGGCGUACAGAACGGUAACAUAUCUCUCCAAAUAUCUGAGCUUGGGUAUAUGGGGAAACCCAACCCCUUGGGAGGAUGGAUGAUAUGGCUAAAUUGAGAGGA
rnacentral:ribozyme from 1 species